UGGGAUUGUGGUGUCACUUAGUGGUGUGUU
rnacentral:piRNA from 1 species